rnacentral:rRNA from 1 species
UGAAUACGAGAUGCUACGGCGUCGAAGCAGUCUAUGUCAUACUUCCAAGAAAAGCUUGCACUGUCAUAAACAAAUAAUGCCUGUACCAUAACCGACACAGGUGGGUAGGUAGAGUAUACUAAGGGGCGCGAGAUAACUCUCUCUAAGGAACUCGGCAAAAUGACUCCGUAACUUCGGGAGAAGGAGUGCCUUAUUUAUAAGGUUGCAAUAACAAGACCCAAGCAACUGUUUAUCAAAAACACAGGUCUCCGCUAAGUCGUAAGACGAUGUAUGGGGGCUGACGCCUGCCCAGUGCCAGAAGGUUAAAGAAGUUGGUUAGCAUUAGCGAAGCUGAUGACUGAAGCCCUGGUGAACGGCGGCCGUAACAAUAACGGUCCUAAGGUAGCGAAAUUCCUUGUCGGGUAAGUUCCGACCCGCACGAAAGGCGUAAUGAUUUGGGUACUGUCUCAGAGAGGGACUCGGUGAAAUAGACUUGUCUGUGAAGAUGCGGACUACCUGCACCUGGACAGAAAGACCCUAUGAAGCUUUACUGUAACCUGAAAUUGAAAUUGGACUUUAUUUGCGCAGUAUAGGUGGGAGGCUUUGAAGAUAUUCUUGCGGGAAUGUUGGAGCCAUCAGUGAGAUACCACUCUUGUAAUGUUAGAUUUCUAACUUUGUAUCAUUAUCUGGUCAAAGAACAGUUUCAGGCGGGCAGUUUGACUGGGGCGGUCGCCUCCUAAACGGUAACGGAGGCGCACAAAGGUUUCCUCUGAACGGGUAGAAAUCGUAUCUAGAGUGUAAAGGCAUAAGGAAGCUUGACUGUGAGACCUACAAGUCGAGCAGGGACGAAAGUCGGUCUUAGUGAUCUGACGGUGCUGAGUGGAAAGGCCGUCACUCAACGGAUAAAAGUUACUCUAAGGAUAACAGGCUGAUCUCCCCCAAGAGUUCACAUCGACGGGGAGGUUUGGCACCUCGAUGUCGGCUCAUCGCAUCCUGGGGCGGUAGUACGUCCCAAGGGUUGGGCUGUUCGCCCAUGAAAGCGGUACGCGAGCUGGGUUCAGAACGUCGUGAGACAGUUCGGUCCAUAUCCGGUGUAGGCGUUAGAAUAUUGAGAGGAGCCUUCUCUAGUACGAGAGGACCGAGAAGGACACACCUCUGGUGUACCAGUUAUCGUGCCAACGGUAAACGCUGGGUAGCUAUGUGUGGAGCGGAUAACCGCUGAAAGCAUCUAAGUGGGAAGCCCACCUCAAGAUAAGUAUUCUC